AUCCAGUUGACGAGUCCCAAAUGGGAUGAAAUACACGAUGUCCUGGAU
rnacentral:hammerhead_ribozyme from 1 species